GGCAUGUAGCUCAGUGAUAGAGCAUGUGCCUAGCAUGCACAAAGCCCUGGGUUCAGUCCCUGGCCA
rnacentral:tRNA from 1 species